rnacentral:lncRNA from 1 species
UAUAACUGUAUAUAUCAUGCUGUUAUGGAGUUAAAAAUGUUUUCUCUGUCACUCAGUUAAAGUUUUGAGAGUUUAUUAACGGAUAUCAUUGCAAAUACAACAUAUAUAUGAAAUAUAGGAGAUAUACAGUUUUAUUUUAAGUCAUUUCCAUUUUUCUCGUAUUUCAAACGAAUUUCCUUACCAUGCGGAGUCGCUUUUCCCGGAAACUUGUUGUUUUUUAUGAAUGUUUUUGUUUUGAUUUCUUUAUUUUGAAAAUUUUGUAUGUUUAUAUUGUUUGUUUAUAUUGUAGCUGAACCUUUUUAUUUUUUUACACUAACUUUAAGAAUCUUAUUUUAAAACUUUUUUCUAUUUUUCGAAAUAUUUAAGUGCUUUUAUGAAGGAAAUAUUAUUGCUAUAUAGUAAACUAGACAACCUAUUAGAAGUCUAAUAUACUACUAGUGUAUUUGACUUCUAAUAUGCGUUCAGAUUAGUACUGCUAGUAUUACUAGCAGUAUUAAUCUUUAUGGUACAGGUAUUAUAGUUUAGGCAGGAAUAACUAUAAAGAGUUUUUGACUGUUAACAGUCUUAAACUCUAUAAAGUUGUUCCUGCCUAAACUAUAACGCCUGUAUCAUACAGAAUAAUACUAUCUAUAACUAAUGUCUAAUAACUAAUAAUUACUAGUAAUAUACAAGUGUCUUAUAAUUAGUUAUUAGACACAUUAGUAUAGUAAUUAGAUCUAUAUAUUAUAAGAUAGUUAUUAUUACUUAUUUAACAGUUGACAAGAUAGUUUUGUUCGCCAUAUUGUAGUGGAUAAAACACUCUUAUAUUUGUGAUCUACAAUGGUUUAGUUAGGAGAAUGCAUGACUACUGGUAUAGAAUAGAAUACAAGAUAGAAAACAAGACUAAAUAGAAAGCAAGACUAACUAGGAAAUAGGAAAUAACGCAUUCACCUUCCUUUAUUAAAAUAAGAAACUAUGAUUGUAUCAAGUUAACUAUAUUUUAUGGUAGGCAAGUUAGCAUACCUGCAAGACUUACAAGUAAAGAACAUAAAAAUGCCUUGAACAAUAUAUGAUUAAAUGAACAAAGAAUAAAAAAUGCAUUAUCUGAAAAUCAAUUAGAAUGUAGAAUGAAGAUUAAUUAUCAGUCUGGAAGUGGGUUUAGUUGUUCCUCUCCUGUCUUAAUUCCUAGAGAUACAAUUAAAGUAAAGUUGUUAGGUUUGGCUGAUAUUAGUAGUCAGGUUGGAGUUUCAGCAAAAACGCUAUUUAUUCUAGAACACGAUUUUUACAAAAAUUCUGUUUUGAAUAAAAUAUUCUAAAAAUAUAAUAAGGCAACUUAACGUGAUCUUGUACAAAUAAUUGCCAUCGGCUUGCUACACUAAUAGCUGAUUAUACAGUUUCGGAUGCUGGAAUGACUAUCAAACUUCAGCAGCUUACUAUCUUUUUUAUAGGGAAAGUGUCUUGGAGCUUUUUAUCAAAACUCAUGUAUAUAUAUAAAGAUAUUUUGAUUUGUUUGAAUAGUUUUUAAAGUAGCCAUUUUUAUUUUUUGCAAGAAAUAUUGUUAUGAGAAAAACAAAAGAACACAAUAAAAUUUACUAAAGUUUUUUUAACAAGAUGUAAAGCAAGACUUUUAAAAGCAAUUAAAGUUAAGAGUAGCACUGCAAGCAGUUUAAAUGAAUUAGGUCGACAAGAUAUUAUUAAGUUUGGAUCAAAAUACAGAUCUAGCCCAGACACUGUUGAAAACAAAAUCAUUAACGAAAUAGCAUAAAAGAUGCGAACCUUUUCCGAAGUUCUAACGACAUUAAAACUUAUUUUUUUAAAGUUAAUUUAAAACAGUUCCGAAUAAAAUUUAUACUUUGAA